rnacentral:lncRNA from 1 species
CCCAGCAAAUGCCACGUACCGAGAGCUAACGAUAAGGUGUAAGCACUGAAAUCUAUACAUACUGAAAUGCGUGCGGUGCGAGUGGGGGCUGGGAAGAGAUAGUUGUGACUAAGGCUAUCCGCCACCGACGUAUCCGCACUUGUCGCAUGUAUAUACGAGUAUACGCACUGACCCGCAAAUAUUAGUCACACGCUUUGACAAAUCUCGGGAGCGCAACAGACUUAAGACGUGUUGACACGGUGAUAAAAAUCGGACCGAUUUCUCGGACCGAGAAAAAAAUUACCAGAAGUCGUAUCGUGUAUACAGCAAACUCAGACGUAAAUCGUGGAUCGAAAACGCGGAUGAAAAAAUGGAUCGCGUCCCAUUAUUCCGUACUAGUUGCUGAAUUCACUCCUGUUCUAAUUCAGGCACACAAUUGUAGAUGAUUGCAGAGUUUGCAUCACGCAUGUGUCAAUUUCAAAGGUGAUUGGGAGAAUUGAGAAAGCAUCACAAAUUCAAACUUGGCUAGUGAAAAACUCACCUUGAUGAUGUGAACCAGCGUUUCCAGGGAUAAAUAAUACUGGAAUACCAGAGAAGUGCAUGGCUCGUAUUCUCGAUACGGUGAAACCUUCGCCAUACGCGUAUAAUCCAUAUCUUGGAUACUGUUGUUGGAUUUCUUCUUGUAGUGGAAUGUGCUAUUAAAAUAGCGUACAUAGGUCCGGAAACUAGUAGGGUGGGAAAUGACUCGGAUAAUGAGGCAAAACCGUGAUUCUCGUCUUCGCCGUCUGCAGCGCUGCCCCCUCGGGGUGAGCCAAUCAUAAAUCAGAUCCGAACAGCUGAUUUUUUGGAAUCAACAAUCCUGAAUAACACUCUAAAAUGAAGAAAGAUGCGAAUAAAAAAUGAUUGAGAUGUUUACUAACAUUCCA